GGGAAUUGAAAACCGUUCCUUAUAACCGAGUGUUCCUUAUAUCCGAAUUCCUUAUAAGGGAGGUUUACUGUAUCCAAAUUUCUUUGACGGAAAUCGUUCAUCAUCUUGCAAAACAUAUUUCAUGUUUAAUGGCUAGUGGGUUUUUCCCAAUAAACAUAACUUUCUAAAAAUAAAACUGACUUGUAGCUCUUGUUACAAUAAAACUGUAUACACAAUGAUUCAUGUCUUCAUUUAAAUUUUCAUAAGUAUUCAUACAGUUAGACCUAUUGUUACUUUCAAACAUUAAAGCAGCAAUGCCUCCAGAUUUGGCUAAAAAAUAUUCUUUCUUUCAAAUUGAAGCUUGGUCAUAUUAUGAAUACUAUAAUAUGAUUUUUUGUUUCUAAAAUAUUUUAAAAGUUCCAAAUCAAGAAAAAAAAAAACGACCGCGUCGGAAAUCGAACCCCGGACCGCCGCGGCAAUAAAUAAAUUUUCCUGUCAUCGUAACCAGUAACGCUAUACCACACAUGAUACACAGUGCUUUCUUACUUGUAGGUGUCAACUGGAUUCUUGAUACCGGUAUUGUCGGUAUUUUAUAUUCAAUUGUAGUUACCUUACUAUCUUAGGCAGUCAAAUUCCAUAAUAAAUGUUUUAGAAACAAUGAUAGGAAAUAUGUAAAUACACUUUCAUGUUGAUCUUGUUAAUAAAA
rnacentral:lncRNA from 1 species